CACUUGGACUCAACCGGCAGUCUGUUUUGGCGGUUCGCUGUCGCGGCGUCUGCAAGAGGAUUAUGCUUUCACCUACCACAUGUACAGCGCAGUCCAGCGACUUGGGUCCUAGUUGACGUGGUUUGUAGAGAUGUCUACUUGCCGUGAAUGUCGCUCUUCAGAUGUAGAAUGAGCUAGGCUGUUUCACAUUUUCCUGUUGAUAUUGUACGUAGAUGAAACCAUCAAUGAAGAAGCCUAAGCCAGCCGAAAACAGAAAUGUCGGUAGUUUCUUCAAGUUACGGACAUGGAUGGAGCUUGCCAGGAAUUGUGGCUUUUGAACAAGAUUCAGGAAAAACAAACUAAAAAGGAUAAAAUCCUCAAGUACAGAUGAAUGCUCAACCAUGCAGAGGUCGCUCGUCCUACGACGGUUCAACUGAAAGAACCACAUCAGCGAUUCAUCACCUGGGCAAAAGAAUCAUCAGUGAAAAAGCAGAUAACUGACAAGGACUGCUACUGAACGUGAAAAGAAAGCAGAGACACUACACUUCUAGAGUGCAUUUUUUGCUAAUCUAGAGUAAGCGUGCCAAAUGGUUAGUAGCACGUAAUUGCAAGAUGUGGCGAUUAGAUAAGGUAACUGGAAAUAUAAUCAGACAUGAUUACAAUCA